rnacentral:rRNA from 1 species
CGCUGGCGGCGUGCCUACACAUGCAAGUCGAACGCCCUGGUCCUUCGGGAGCAGGGAGUGGCGGACGGGUGAGGAACACGUGGGUGACCUACCCCCCGGUGAGGAAUACCGCCGAGAAAUCGGCGACAAGACCGCAUAGGCUUCCCUUGCAAGAGGGAAGCAAAGCUUCUGACGCAAGUCGGAGGCGCCAGGGGAUGGGCCUGCGCCCGAUUAGCUAGUUGGUGGGGUAAAAGCUCACCAAGGCGACGAUCGGUAGCUGGUCUGAGAGGAUGAGCAGCCACACUGGGAUUGAGAACGGCCCAGACUCCUACGGGAGGCAGCAGUGAGGAAUUUUCGGCAAUGGGGGCAACCCUGACCGAGCAACGCCGCGCGCAGGAAGACGCUUUUCGGAGUGUAAACUGCUUUUCCCAGGGACGAGCAAGGACGGUACCUGGGGAAUCAGCCCCGGCUAACUACGUGCCAGCAGCCGCGGUAAUACGUAGGGGACGAGCGUUGUCCGGAGUUACUGGGCGUAAAGGGCCCGCAGGCGGUCUGCCGCGUUUGUGCUGACAGCUCCUGGCUUAACUGGGAGAGCGGUGCGAAGACGGGCGGACUGAGA